rnacentral:misc_RNA from 1 species
UGCUAUUAUUUGUAUAAACACAGCUGCAAGUCACAAAAAAGCAAUUCAUCCAAUACUCGAUCCGAUACUCGAGAAGAAAAUCUUAUUGUACAAGGUCCUAGCAGUAGAACAAGAUCCCAUUCAACUAGCUCAGAAUCAUCUUCGAGUUCAUCAUCAAUAAGUUCAAGUUCAUCAUCUUCAUCUAGUUCAUUUGAAUCGGGUAAGGACUUCUCCGCUGAUGAAGCAGAUUGCGAUCCUGAUUACGUACCGGCAACCCCACCUAGGCAUAUAUCAUUUAGCCCAACACCUCAAAGUAGUAUUUCUAUGCAACUGUUAGUUGAAAAAAAAGGAUAAUUUGGGUUCUCCAAAAGAUAACAGAACUCCGAAAAAACGAAGUCGCAAAGGGUUUAAAAAACUAUCAGUGAUGCAAGAUGCUAAAAAACUUCGUAAUAGUGGUCAGCAAUAUACUUCAGUUUCCAAGUAUAAAAAAGUCAUGCCAAAGAAGCAGAUAGGACCACCAUGUAGGGAAAAAUGUAGAUUAAAGUGCAGCGAAAUAAUCAAACAGGAAGACCGAGAAAUAAUUUUUGACAAUUUUUGGAAAAUGGGAGACAUAUCUAGACAAAGAAAUUAUAUUGCAAAAUGUAUUGAGGUUAUUAAACCCAGAUAUCAGUAAAAACUUCAUUACAGUAAUAGAGGACCUAAACAUUCAUUUUCAUUCCAGAUCAAUAAUUGUAAGCGCCGUGUAUGUAAAACUUUCUUUAAAAACACAUUGGCUAUUAGUAAUCGACCUAUCGCAACUGUUAUAUCAAAAAAAACCAAUCGGGAACAGUUGACGAAGAACUAAGGGGUAAACAUGGGAAACACAACAAAGUCAGCUUAGAUAUCAUUAAAAGCAUAAAAAAGCAUAUAGACUCAAUCCCAAGGAUAUAUACUGAUUGAUAUUAUUAUUCCAAGUGAUUGUCAGGAUCUCUCUUUAUUUUGUAAUAAAACAUUAUUAAUUAAAUGUUAGUUUUUAUUUAAAUUUAUUUAGUAAUAUUAUAACACCGCAUUAAUGCCAACAGCUUGUACAAAUCAUCCAUCCCGAGCGGGAAUCGAACCCGCACACCAUCGGUGUUUUAGGCGACUACACGCAUCACUACACCAGAGUGGUUGCUAUUUAAUAUUAUACCAUAAUGAACAAAUAAAAUUAAUUGUAAAGUGUUACUAUAAUAAUAUAAAUCAAAAUAAAUAAUGCUGUAAAUAAAAAAAAAUACUUUUUUAAAUCACAUGUCAUAAUAUAAACAGAGAUCUAUCAUAGGAUCUCAUUAAAUAUCUUAAAGAAUCCCGAACUCAGACUCUAUUGAGAAAAAACAGUG